rnacentral:rRNA from 1 species
CGGCGGACGGGUGAGUAACGCGUGGGUAACCUACCCCAAAGUCCGGGAUAACAGCGGGAAACCGCUGCUAAUACCGGAUGUCUUUACCUUGGGGCAUCUUGAGGUAAAGAAAGGUAACGCUUUGGGAUGGGCCCGCGUCCCAUUAGCUAGUUGGUGAGGUAACGGCUCACCAAGGCGACGAUGGGUAGCCGGCCUGAGAGGGUGGACGGCCACACUGGGACUGAGACACGGCCCAGACUCCUACGGGAGGCAGCAGUAGGGAAUAUUGCGCAAUGGACGGAAGUCUGACGCAGCGACGCCGCGUGAGCGAUGAAGGUCUUCGGAUCGUAAAGCUCUGUCCUUGGGGAAGAAGGCGAAAGCUUGACGGUACCCAAGAAGAAAGCCCCGGCUAACUACGUGCCAGCAGCCGCGGUAAUACGUAGGGGGCGAGCGUUGUCCGGAAUUACUGGGCGUAAA